AUGUUUUUGCAGCACAUGUACUAAAACCAGAAUAAUAAAAAAAAGAUAAGCAGGGCCCCUGCACAAGGAUAACAAGCAAGUUUGUGAAGCAUUCCAUAUUUUU
rnacentral:snRNA from 1 species